rnacentral:lncRNA from 1 species
AGAGACCUGGGUUCCUCCUAGGAAAACCACAGGGAGAUCUCCUGCUUUUCCAUCCCCAUCCGCCUCCUGCUGUGGGGUCAUGAGAAGGCAGAGUAGUGGAAGGCGCUGAGAUUGAGAAUGGGAGGCAUAAUCGGGCUUCCCGUUCCAGGCUCUGCUCUAAUCUGCUGGUGGCCUUGACCAAGCCAUCUAAGCUUUCUGGGCCUCAGUGUCCCCAUCUUUCGGGAAGGGAUACCAGAACCAUUCCUGCUGUCUCCCUGCUUCCCCAGGGUGUUGGGAGGAUAAGGCUGAAAAGGGGCGAUGAUCACAGAUUCUGCUGGAGGCCUCUGACUUGGCAGGCAGUGGAGGAUAAAACUGUGAAGCUGAAGGAGGAAGCUGCCAGUGACCUGCGAUGGGUCGAGGGUACAGCUCUGGGCCUGGAAGCCGGGUUCUAGUCUGGCUCUGCCAUCUGCUCCAGGGCAAACCCCUCGCUGUCUGUGGUCUCCGUGCUCUCAUCUGUGCCCUGUGGUCAUCGGCAGGGUUAAUUAUCUGAACAGUCUUUGGACUUUGGCACACUCAAAAGAGAAAGAAGAUCUGCAAAUCAUUAAGCCAGGGAAUGGCCUUCACGAAAGAAGCAUCUGUGGGCCCGGGGCAGACGGUAUGCAGGUGCCCCCUCCGUGCAUCCGUGUGGCCUGGGCGUCGGUGGGUCAGAGAACCGGAGCAGAAGUGGCCAAGGGCUCCAGGGCCAGGAGGACGCCCGCAGGGAGCCUGCGAGUCGGUCUGGGUGGGGGGGGGGGGGGGGGGCGGGGGCGGGGGGGGCGGGGGACAGGCGCGCGGCGGUCCCCCACCCCUGUCGUCUCUACGGCUCUCCGCACGUUUUCAAAUGCUAGUGUUGGCAGUGUCCUUGAAGGGAUUGAAAGAACUCAGAACACCACCAAACAAGUCAGGGUAAUGAUGGCACUCAGUGCGACAGGGCACGUGUUCCGGAGUCCGGGAAAGCAUCUGCUGUCGUCUCCUGCCCCCCCGAUUUGUCGCCCGGGGCAAAGCCGCGUCCCGGAGCCUUCCCGCCCUGGUCA